rnacentral:rRNA from 1 species
GACGAACGCUGGCGGCGUGCUUAACACAUGCAAGUCGAACGAAGUGGCGAACGGGUGAGUAACGCGUAAUCAACCUGCCCUUCAGAGGGGAACAACAGUUGGAAACGACUGCUAAUACCGCAUACUGAAGGAGGGGAUUGCGUCUGAUUAGCUGGUUGGAGGGGUAACGGCCCACCAAGGCGAUGAUCAGUAGCCGGUCUGAGAGGAUGAACGGCCAAAUUUGGACUGAGAAACCGCCCAGACUCCUACGGGAGGCAGGAGGGGGGAAUCUUCCGAAAUGGACGGAAGGCGGAAGGAGCAACGCCGCGGGAGUGAUGAAGGCCUUCGGGUUGUAAAGCUCUGUUAAGCGGGACGCGGUACCGGAAGAGAAAGCCACGGCUAACUACGUGCCAGCAGCCGCGGUAAUUC